AGAGUUUGAUCAUGGCUCAGAUUGAACGCUGGCGGCAUGGCUAAAGCAUGCAAGUCGAACGAGACCCCGCAAGGGGAAAAGUGGCGGAAGGGUCAGUAACGCGAUCGAACGUACCCCGAGGUGUGGGAUAGGCAUGGGAAACUGUGCGUAAUACCACAUGAUCUCUCAGGAGCAAAGCCGCAAGGCGCCUUGGGAGCGGCGAUCGUCCUAUCAGGUAGUUGGUGGGGUAAUGGCCUACCAAGCCGAAGACGGGUAGCGGGUGUGAGAGCACGGCCCGCGACAUCGAAACUGAGACACUGUUCGGACUCCUACGGGAGGCAGC
rnacentral:rRNA from 1 species